GUGAGUAGUUCAGAGUUUGAUCCUGGCUCAGGAUGAACGCUAGCGGCAGGCUUAACACAUGCAAGUCGGGGGGCAGCAUAACAUUGCUUGCAAUGUUUGAUGGCGACCGGCGCACGGGUGCGUAACGCGUAUGUAACCUACCUCAAACAGGGGCAUAACACUGAGAAAUUGGUACUAAUUCCCCAUAACACCUGAUAGGGCAUCCUAAUGGGUUGAAAGCUCCGGCGGUUUGAGAUGGACAUGCGUUGUAUUAGCUAGUUGGUGGGGUAACGGCCUACCAAGGCGACGAUCAGUAGCCGGCCUGAGAGGGUGAACGGCCACAUUGGGACUGAGACACGGCCCAA
rnacentral:rRNA from 1 species